GACGAACGCUGGCGGCGUGCUUAACACAUGCAAGUCGAACGGAAAGGCCCUGCUUUUGUGGGGUGCUCGAGUGGCGAACGGGUGAGUAACAAGUGAGUAACCUGCCCUUGACUUUGGGAUAACUUCAGGAAACUGGGGCUAAUACCGGAUAGGAGCUCCUGCUGCAUGGGGGGGGUUGGCAAGUUUCGGCGGUUGGGGAUGGACUGGCGGCUUAUCAGGUUGUAGGUGGGGUAGUGGCUUACCAAGGCUUUGAGUGGUAGCCCACAUGAGAGGGUGGCCAGCGACAUGGGGCCUACGGGAGGCAGCAGACUGCAAUGGUGGGCAGUGGUGGGGAGUAUUGCACAAUGGGGCCGAGCGUAAUGCGGCAGCGCCGGGGUCGGGAUGUGGUCUUUCGCGUAGUAAACAGCUUUCUCCUGAGACGAAGGGUGCAUGACGGUAAUGGGUAAAUAAGCACCGGCUAACUACGUG
rnacentral:rRNA from 1 species